rnacentral:rRNA from 1 species
GAUAACCCAUAAGAGGUCCAGCCUGCCCAGUGACAAAGUUAAACGGCCGCGGUACCCUAACCGUGCAAAGGUAGCGCAAUCACUUGUUCUUUAAAUGAGGACCGGUAUGAACGGCAUCACGAGGGUUAUACUGUCUCCCCACUCAACUCAGUGAAACUGAUCUUCCCGUGAAGAAGCGGGAAUAAAAAUAUAAGACGAGAAGACCCCAUGGAGCUUAAAACUCAGAAUCAACUGCCACAUUUAUAACCUCAUAACCACGCAGCCAUGACCUCUAGUUUUCGGUUGGGGUGACCGCGGAGUAAAACACAACCUCCAUGAUGAAAGGAACUAAUACCCUAAUCUAAGGACGACAGCCCUAAGAAUUAAUACAUUAACCCAAUUGAUCCAAUCACUUGAUCAACGAACCAAGUUACCCUGGGGAUAACAGCGCAAUCCAUUUCAAGAGCUCAUAUCGACAAAUGGGUUUACGACCUCGAUGUUGGAUCAGGAUAUCCCAGUGGCGCAGCCGCUACUAACGGUUCGUUUGUUCAACGAUUAAAAUCCUACGUGAUCUGAGU